CUUUACCACUGAUCCACCAGGGAAGCCCCCACUCCAGCUUGUACUUGCUCCUAAGGUCCACAGUUGCCCCUGAAGCCCACAGUCUCAGGCUGAUCAUGGGGAUAUCAUCCCCUGCACCUGUGGCUGCAGGGGUGCGUUUCCCUUCUCUCUUUGGCUCACACUGCCCCUGGUGUUCAGUUUUGGUUUGGGGUCCGCCUCUGUCUGUAGGUGGCCCUCAAGACACAGUUAGGGUUUGUGGGGAGUGUCGCGGGGCCUGGACCUGGGAGGUUGUCCCAGGCAGAGGCAGAUGUGCACUUCCCCAGGGCAGUGGUGUCAGGUCGUGGGCCUCUGGGCAGCGCCAGGCUGCUCAGGAAGAUGUGGGCAGUGACCCCUGUGCCAGCUCACAGCUCGGUGGUGGAGACCGUAGGGUCCUCCCGACCUCUGGCACUGGCGGCGGCUUUUCUACCUCUGGAGCUACAGGCCGCAGCCGGCUUGUCCCCUGAUGGCUCUCCCGAGGGCAAGGGUCCUGCAUCCUGCACCCGCGCAGAGCUAGAGCGUUCCCACAGCAGUGAUGCAUGUGCCUCUCUGGGAGGCCCGGGCUUUCUCCUGGACUCCCUCAGCUGUGUCGUACCAGCCCUUUGAGAAGAUCUUCACAGCAGCCAACCCUGGUCCUCUCCCGGGGGUCCGACCCUUGAAGCCUGAGCCUGAGUACCCAGCCCCUACUCUCUGCUGCGAGGCCCUGUAAGCCGCUUCUCAGCUGGGACAUGCUGCUCGGCAGCAAUCUCUGGGCUGAAUUCUCUCCGUUCUGCCGUCUGAGCAUCUGUUGUUGCAUUCCCCUCUGAGGUUCUUAAGCUCUCUCUCCCCUGUCCCCGCCUGUGAGGGAGUUUCCGAGUGUGCAGAAACUUUUCCUCCUUCACGUCUCCCUCCCUGAGGCACAGGUCCCCAUCCCGAAAUCCUUUCUCUCUCUCUCUUUUUAAUCUUUAUCUUUUGCCCUACUUCAUUUUGAGGAGAUUGGCCUGCCUUUUUGGAAGUCUGGGAUCUUCGGUCCGUGUUCAGGUGGUGUUCUGUAGAAGCUGUUCCACAUGCUGAGGAAUUCUUGAUGUAUCUGUGGAGGGGAAGUUGCUCUCCCUAUCUUAUUCCUCCGAUAUCUUAAGUUUGCCUCUAAAUAGGUUAAUCUUGAUUGAAUGGUGAUGCAGUGUGAGAGGGUCAUUGGGAAGUCAGCUUGGAGAUACAGAAUGGGGACAACUGGAGGAGCCUUGAAUAUCAGUUUGAUUUUUAUUCUUUAAGGGCAUUGAUGAAAAUAAUCAAUAGACAAUCCAUAAUAGGAAUACAAAAAAGUUUCAUUUGAGCCAAACUGAAGACCAUAGUCCAGAAGACUGCCUCUAGAUAACUCCGAGGAACUGUUCCAGAGAAGCACGGUUUUCAGCACAGUUUUAUGUCUUGUCAGAAUAAAGAACACCAAACAAGUCAGGGGUACAUUCCUUCCUGGUUUCAAAAAAACCAGAUCAGCACAUACACAGCGAGUCAGUAUGACCUAGGCACCUGGGAAGGGAUCUUAUCAUUGAAGGAGGAUCAGCAUUGGUGUCCCAGGAAGACAGGUAUUUAAUCUUUAUUUUUAAUAUGGAUAUUCUUGUGAUCACUACACCCUUUUCUUUAACAAUUAAAGCAGAUGUACAAUAUAUAUAUAUGAGAAGCCACAAACAGGCUAUUUUGGUUAUAAGGUGACAGUGUCAUGAGUGUGAUGGUGGCCGUGGAAAUGGAGUGGCUGGAGAAGUUUGGAACUGAUGUGUGUGCUUACUGUGGUGUCAGGCAUUUUGCUAAUACUUCUUACAUUACCUCUGUUUCCCCUUAUAACCACCCUGUGGGGUGACCAUACUAGUUAUCAACUGUUGCAUAACACAUUACUCCAAACAUCGGAGCUUACCAGCACACAUUUAUUAUCUCACAUUGUUCACGUGCCAGAAACCUGGAUGUGGCUUAGCUAGGACCCCUGGCUCAGAGUCACUCAUAAGGCUGCAGGCAUUUCAAAGCUUGACGGGGAAAGAUCAGCCUCCUUGCUCCCUCAUGUGUUGUUGGCAGGAUUCAGUUCCUCUGGACUCAGGUCUCCAUUCCUCCCUCCCUUUCUUGCCCUGUAGGCCUCUUCAUAGAGCACCUUGCUUCAUCAGGGUGAGCAAGUGAGAAGGCAAGGAGAGUACCAUCGAGAGUGAGAAGAGGGGGUGAGGAGCGAAUCAGGGAUGGAGCCAAGUUGGGGGAGUGUGAGUGAGAGAGUGAGCACUAGCAGGAUGGAUGCCAGCGUCUUGUAACCUUAUCACUUUUAUGUGUUUUUGUUCCUUAGAAGCAAGUCCCCAGAUCCAUGUCACACUCAUGGGGAGGAAGGUAUUAAACAUCGUCUAGUGUGUAACGUGUUACCAAGACUAGCAGGAGCUUCCCAGAGAGAGAUAAGAGAGAAGGAAGGGGGCAGAGAAAGGAGAGAAAGAGGGCAAGGAGCCUCGUGAUGGUUUGAAGUUGAGGACGACAGCCUGGUAAAGGCAGAAAUAAAAGCAUUGAGGGCACUUCGUGGUCUGCGUUGGUGGGUGAAGGACUGAAAUGAGACAAGAAUAGAACUCUGCGCUCCCUACUCCCCAACCCCCAGCAGAAAAGGAACUCGAAACUGCACCCCCAACAGGAGGAGGAGGAAGCUUUGGACAUCCUUUUCAUGUGACCGGCUAGCAGGGCUUUGAAACCAUGCCCCACAGCUUUAACAGAAACUGGUGACUAUCAGAAAUUCUUGAGCUUAUCUUACAGAACAGCAGGUAAGGGAAAAGCUUCUUAAAACUUCCUUCUGCUUAUAGCCUGCCCUACUUGAGCAAGCGCAAGCUUGCCUUUAAUCACUUCGUUGCCGAUUGCGUGUCCUCAUAGGUUCACGUAGCCUAGGAAUUUGGAAUCAGCUCUUGCCCAGUUUGAACCAGCUGAGACUAUUUGGGAUCAUUGACUCUAAAACUGGACCUGAGUAGAACACUGAUUACCUGACCUUUUCCCUGCCUCCACUCAUCUUUCUGAAUGCCUAAGACCACUCUGCUUCUUUAACCCGUGAAUAUUUCAAGCCCCUUGACUUUGACAAGGCAGAUCUUGGAGUUCUUCUCCCAUCUUCUCAUUUGGCUGCUUCAUGAAUAAGCCAUUUCUCUGUUGCAAACCUCAUCAUCUCAGCAUUUACCUUGCUGAGCAUCAUAUAAAGGAACCUGGUUUGGUAACUGGUUUCUCCUUUGAGAGGCAAGAACUCUGCCUGAAAGGAGGUGCAUUGCAAGGUGCUUGGGGAGAGUUUAGCAAGCCCUGGUCAAUUACCUCUGGAAAAAGUUGGCUCUCUGUUAUUUUCUGUUAUUUUUGUUGUUUAGUUGCUAAGUCAUGUCUGACUCUUUUGACCCCAUGGACUGUAGCCCGCCAGGCUCCUCUGUCCGUAGGAUUCCCCAGGCAAGAAUACUCGAGUGGGUUGCCAUUUCCUUCUCUAGGGGAUCUUCCUGACCCAAAGGAAUCAAACCCUUGUCUUCUGCAUUUCAGGUGGAUUCUUUACCACUGAGCCACCAGGGAAGCCCUUAAUUUCCGUUAAUUAGACUUUAACAUUACUUUGGAGGAUGAAGCACUUAUCAAGAAAUUCAAAUGCUUGUUGCUACUAUUUAACUGGACGGCUCAAUAGUGAAAAGAUAUAGGAUGGUGUCAUCAGUGAGGCCUGCCUGGGAACUCCCAGGAGGAGCCGUGGUUCGGUGUGGGUCUAAUGCGAAAGUGGUGGAGACAACUCUCCAGAGGUAAAAUCAAAGAAAGAGGCCGCAUAUGAGAAUCCCUGACAGCCUGUUCCUCAAAGUGUAUUGAUUUUCUAGGGACUUCCCUGGUGGUCCACGGGUUAAGAAUCUGUCUUUCAAUGCAGGGGAUGAGGGUUCGAUCCCUGGUCUGGGAACUAAGAUCCCACAUGCCUUGGGGCAACUAAGCCCUCGCACUACUGAGCCCACAUGCCAUGACUAGAGAAGCCUACGUGCUUCAACAAAGACCCAGCACAGUCCAAAAAAAAAAAAAAACAAAAACAAAAACAAAACCAGAAAAUAGGUAUAUUGAUUUUCUAAAAUCCUACUUUAUUCAUGUGGGUUUAAGGUAGCUAACAGAAAUACAAGAUUUAAAAAGCAGAAAGUUAAGGAUAUAAAGAUAAUAAGAGUAGAAGGAAUAAGAUGAUUACGAGGAAGGUGAGGCUCAUUAUUCAGAAAUGCUGGGUGACUGUCUCUCUGAGUUUGGUACUGUUUAGGGCACUGAGGAAAUAAGACAAACCCUACUCCAGUAGAGUUUAUGAUGUGUUCAUGUAAUGUACAACAACCCUAUUGAAAUGCAGACCUGAAUCCAGCCCAUACCUUUCCCUUUUCAAUAUAAUUUCAUUAGUUGAGUCCCAGGGACAUCCUUUAAUUCAUUUAAUUCUCUUAGACACUACUGACUUUUGCUAUUAAUUGUGAACUAUGAUUUUUUUCCCCCUUUUGUACUGAUUUGAUACAAUGUGGAAACAUUUUAAAUAUCAUUACUGCAUAAUGUAGCUUCUUAUCUUUCCUAAAAACAAAACAAAUAACAGUAUCUAUUUUCCUGAUAACAUAUAGGCUCUAUUUCUAGCCUUGUGUACAAAUACAUUUUUGUCACAUGCAACUUGUUGUUGAUAAAAUAAUUUCAGAUUAUUUGUAGCACUGUUUCCUGAAACUUUGAGAAUCAUCAACUGAAGAAGUUAAAGUCUUAUUCGAACAUAUCUUUCAAUUAAGAAUGACCAAUUCAAAGAUGCUUUGUUAAAAAUAACAUACAGGUAGGUUGAUUCCUCCAGUUCCAUUCUUCUUUCUCAAGAUCGCUUUGUACGAGACAGCAAAAGAGACACUGAUGUAUAGAACAGUCUUAUGGACUCUGUGAGAGAGGGAGAGGGUGGGAAGAUU